GACGAACGCUGGCGGCGUGCUUAACACAUGCAAGUCGAACGGAAAGGCCCCUUUGGGGGUACUCGAGUGGCGAACGGGCGAGUAACACGUGAGUAACCUGCCCUUGACUUCGGGAUAACUUCAGGAAACUGGGGCGAAUACCGGAUAGGAAUCCUUGCUGCAUGGUGGGGGUUGGAAAGCUUCGGCGGUUUUGGAUGGACUCGCGGCUUAUCAGCUUGUUGGUGGGGUAGUGGCUUACCAAGGCUUUGACGGGUAGCCGGCCUGAGAGGGCGACCGGCCACAUUGGGACUGAGAUACGGCCCAGACUCCUACGGGGGGCAACAGUGGGGAAUAUUGCACAAUGGGCGGGAGCCUGAUGCCGCAACGCCGCGUGCGGGAUGACGGCCUUCGGGUUGGAAACCGCUUUCAGCAGGGGCGAAGCUUGUGGUGACGGUACCUGCAGAAGAAGCACCGGCUAACUACGUG
rnacentral:rRNA from 1 species